UAGGGAAUUUUCGUCAAUGGGGGGAACCCUGAACGAGCGAUGCCGCGUGAGCGAAGAAGGCCUUCGGGUCGUAAAGCUCUGUUGCAGAGGGAAACAGGCAGGAAGAGGAAAUGGUUCCUGUAAGAUGGUACUCUGCCAGAAAGUCACGGCUAACUACGUGCCAGCAGCCGCGGUAAUACGUAGGUGGCGAGCGUUAUCCGGAAUGAUUGGGCGUAAAGGGUGCGUAGGCGGACGAUCAAGUCUGGAGUGAAAGAUGUCAGCUCAACUGAUAUAGGCUCUGGAAACUGGUCGACUAGAGGACAGGAGAGGGCGGUGGAACUCCAUGUGUAGCGGUAAAAUGCGUAGAGAUAUGGAAGAACACCAGUGGCGAAGGCGGCCGCCUGGACUGAACCUGACGCUGAGGCACGAAAGCGUGGGGAGCAAAUAGG
rnacentral:rRNA from 1 species